AUGAUAAAAUCGGCACCGAUUCAACGACACCUUUUGGCAAAUAGCAGAAGAGCAUUCAAUUCAGAGACUCAAACGACAGUGUUCCAGAAUUCUUCAACUAUGGAUAUAUUAAAGGCGUCGAUAGGCAGGCUCCUCAUGAGCUCGCCUGAAAAACGUGCGUUUGAAAUGGGAAACACCACUUCCGCAAUUUGCGGAACACGUUAUUUUAGACAAGCCUCGUUCUCGAGGCGAACCACGCGGAUAACGGGGAGCCCUGCCUCCGAUCGUCCGUAUUGAUCCGGACAGUAAUAACAAGAUUGGCUCUCCGAUUAAGUAUUUAAAAAGAAAAAAAAAAACCGAGACCUGUACAAGAUCGGAAGGGCUGCGGAGAACAGGAGCCGAUUCGCCAUCGCAAUUGUACAAUUCGUCGUUUGGCUGACGAAGGGGCGUAACUACACUCGACGAUGAGCCCCGUUGUCCGUAUGACUCAAUGCUUUCUCGGGCUCAUCUCAAAUUGUAAUUACGCCCUUUUGUCGGCCAAGCGACGAAUUACGAGCCACGAGUUCAUUAAAAAACAUUUAACCCACAGACCGGGGCCGCAUCAAAAACCAACAAAACGGCUCAACUUUCAUUUUUAGUCGCGCAUGCGCACCGCCGCCGCCAGACCACGGCUGAGAUCCCUCUCUGUCGCGGGAAAUUCGAGGAUUUUCCUCGUGAAUCUGGCAAUGACGCUUGUACGUGAAUACAGUUAUUAUCCACGCAGUGCUCUGGAUCGCGGUUUCCGUAGCACAGCCUAAUUUGCCGGGCAUAAUUGCCGCUUUGCAGAGGGAAAUUAUACGAUACCCUCUUCGAGAGAUAAUUUUGUGUGCUUUGAAAGAUUUUAUAAGCUUCAAAAAUUACUCCAAAUUUUUGGAACAUUGUUUCAAGAUUAUUUUUAAAAUGUCAAUCAAACAUCUCUAAAAAUAUGAAAAACUGCUUGUAUAAAUUCCUGCAAAAUAAACCGAUGAUUAAUAAAAUCCGAAAUUAUACCUGCGUAUUUGA
rnacentral:lncRNA from 1 species